rnacentral:tRNA from 1 species
AAUAAGAUAAGCUAAUAAAGCUUUUGGACUCAUAAUCCAACAAUGGUAUCACCUCUUAUUA